rnacentral:misc_RNA from 1 species
UCCUUACAUUCGGCAAAAUCGAUAUGGUAUCUCAUAAUCGGGGACUUUCCUCUAUAUAUUUAAAAAUAUGCAUGUUUUAUGGUAAACUAAAAUUGUUGAAUUCAAUUGUAUAUAAUAUGACAAACAUGUAUAAUAAAAAUUGCAGAGGCAGACCAUUUGUGCAAUUGUACACAAGAUCAACAAGGCAAAAGGCUUGUUUAUAAAACAAGUAUAUGUUACGAAUGCGUGGACUAAAGGGAAGAAGGUGAAGACGUGCUACUUGGAAAAAUUAAUUGCGCGAAAUUCGGUCAAGAUAUCAUGACAUGACUGUUUUUCUGUGAGAAAUAAAUAUCCGUAGUACUUGGGUUACGGCGUCAAAUCGAUUAAUCGCCCAUUUUUCUCUCCCUCGCAAAUUGUGCGAAUAUUAUUUCUAUAGCAUUCUUAUUUCUGUAGCAUUGCAAUAGCAUAGAUAGAAUGUUCUGCAGCAAUUCUAUUAUAGCAUAUUCAUUGUAUCGUAGUUAAUAUUUGAUGUUGCUACUAUGAGUAAUACGUUUAUGAUAACUUGUAAAAAAAAUUGUCUAAUUUUCAUAAAUUAAGGUAAAUUGUUCAAAUUAGGUAAUGUUCCUCGUAAGUAAUGUAUCUUAUGCUUAGAGAGAAAUAUUCUAAAAUAUUCCACGUAUUCUUCCGAAGAAGAUGUAUGCAAAUUCCAGUCACACAUUCUCAAAUGCAGUCGAAUGCUCGAAGAAGAAUGAUCUCUAUAGUUGAACAUUUUCGACUCCAUCGAACAUUGCUAUUGGCCAUUGGCUUAUGGCCCUACAACCAAUCAAAAUUUGUUGAAUUACAAUUCUUACUGUUCUUUGCUGUUCCAAACAGUUUUAUUAUAUUUCAGCUUAUAUCGUUUAUAACUUCUGAAUAUACUGUUGAUCUUCUUAUUAAAAUUCUGUCUACAAUAUUCUUUUUUCUUUUCUGCGAAGUUCAUCAUACUUCGUUUUGGUUUAAUGCAUAUACUGUGCAGUGUUUCGUGGAGCGUCUUCAGCAUGUCUCUUGUGAAUUAAAAGAUGAAAACGAGAUCGCAAUAAUAAAAAAAUAUGGAAAGAGCGGAGAACACAUUACAAUUAUACUUACAUUGUUUGCGGUGUGCUGCGGAAUAAUUAUGAUAUCUUUUGCCAUUUUGCCGUGGAUUCUUGGCACCUUUCUAUUCGGAAAUGAAUCUCGACCACUUCACAAUAUGCCAAUUGUAACUGAAUAUUUUGUUGACAAAGAAAAAAAUUUUUAUUUAAUUAUUCUGCACACAUACGCAUCUAUUUACAUAGGAGUGACUGCGAUGGUGGGAGGAGGAAUGAUGCUAAUGGCAUACCUAAAACACAUUUGCGGACUAUUUAGCAUUGCAAGUUACCGUAUGGAACAAACUAUAAUGUUAAAUACUCACGAAGAAGCUAAUCGAAGGAACGAGAUGGAGAUGAACAAGAAGUUACGACAUGCAGUGGAUGUACAUCGUACAGCUAUUGAGUUGUCUGAAUUCUUUACAUCUAGUUUCAAUGGAACAUAUUUUUGUCUAAUAGUGGUAGGCGUUAUUUGUUUAGUCCUUAAUCUCUAUCAAGUAUUUCGAUCUGCAGUGCUUCUAGGUAACAUAGAAGAGAUUUUAUUACACCUUAUCUUCGCAGUAUCAAUGCUUCUAUAUGGUUCAUUGGCCAAUUAUAUCGGUGAAGAAAUUAUAGAACACUAUAACGACAUGUUUUCUAUGGCAUACAUCAUUGAGUGGUAUACAGCUCCUAUAUGCAUACAAAGAUUGAUAUUAUUUCUGUUGCAAAGAAGUUGUAAAGCUUAUGGCCUCAAAAUAGCUGGACUUUUUAUAGCAUCUCUAGAGUGCUUUGCCUCGGUAAAAUUGUUAUACAUUAUACAUCAAUAUACAUGUAUAAUAUGCCACAUUGUUCCUAGCCUAACAUAAAGUUGUUUAUUAUAGUUAUUUGCUGCAGCGAUAUCUUAUUUUACUGUUAUAUAUUCUACACAGACGUGAUACGACUAUCAAUCAUCUAAUAGUAUAUUGAGAAGAAAUGAAUAAGUUUACAAAUAAGUGAUAGAAACCGUUUCCAAAUAAUUUGUUGCGUAAAUUGAUUAGUGGUUUAAACAUAUCACUUUUUUAAUAAUAUCUUUUAAUAUAAUAAUAGAGUUGAUAUAAAAUAAAAAACAAGUAGAAUGACGUUUGGGCACCUAAAAAAUAUUUAAUAUCUUACAAAUUGAGGUCUGGUCGCAGAUUUAUUUAAUUCAGAAGGAUUACUUCUAUGAUCAGUACUCACUUCGCGUGGACAGUCGAAAACACAUACGAAUCUAUUAAACUUCUUCUUUUCUAACUUUUUAAUAAACAAUGAUCGCCGGUAAAA